rnacentral:rRNA from 1 species
CACGUAGGGGGGCGAGCGUUGUCCGGAUUUAUUGGGCGUAAAGAGCUCGUAGGCGGCUCGGUAAGUCAGGUGUGAAAACUCUAGGCUCAACCUAGAGACGCCACCUGAUACUGCUGUGGCUAGAGUCCGGUAGGGGAGCAUGGAAUUCCUGGUGUAGCGGUGAAAUGCGCAGAUAUCAGGAAGAACACCCGUGGCGAAGGCGGCAUCUCUGGAACGCAAC